rnacentral:rRNA from 1 species
UACGGAGGGUGCGAGCGUUGUCCGGAAUCACUGGGCGUAAAGGGCGCGUAGGCGGCCUGGUAAGUAGGGGGUGAAAUCCUGCGGCUUAACCGCAGGGCUGCCUUCUAAACUGUCAGGCUCGAGCACGGUAGAGGCAGAUGGAAUUCCCGGUGUAGCGGUGGAAUGCGUAGAGAUCGGGAGGAAUACCAGUGGCGAAGGCGGCGACCUGGGCCAAUACUGACGCUGAGGUGCGAAAGCGUGGGGAGCAAACAGG